rnacentral:tRNA from 1 species
GGCUGGUUAGCUCAGUGGAUUGAGAGCAGUGCUGACAAUAAUGACAACACUGAGGUCGCGGGUUCAAUUCCCGCUCAAUCCG